GAUGAAGAACACAGCGAAAUGCGAUAAGUAAUGUGAAUUGCAGAAUUCCGUGAAUCAUCGAAUCUUUGAACGCACAUUGCGCCCCCUGGUAUUCCGGGGGGCAUGCCUGUUCGAGCGUCAUUUCACCACUCAAGCCUCGCUUGGUAUUGGGCAACGCGGUCCGCCGCGUGCCUCAAAUCGACCGGCUGGGUCUUCUGUCCCCUAAGCGUUGUGGAAACUUUCGCUAAAGGGUGUUCGGGAGGCUACGCCGUAAAACAACCCCAUUUCUAAGGUUGACCUCGGAUCAGGUAGGGAUACCCGCUGAACUUAAGCAUAUCAAUAAGCGGAGGA
rnacentral:misc_RNA from 1 species